UCCAGCAGCUCGAUGGUGUAGUGAAAGUAAUUCCCAUCAUGCCAUUUUGCCUACCACAUCAGGCAGAAAGUUUCUGGACUCUGGAUUCAAUUUUAGCCUCCACUGCUCAGAGCUGGAGCCCCUGGAUAUGCUGUGUAACCUCCCCAAGCAGAAUGCAGCGCAGCGUGUGAGGACACAGGGAGAAGUGCCCAUCAAGAAGCCAGGAAGCAGGCAGGCCCUCACCAGACACUGAAUCUGCAGACACUGUGGUCUUGGACCUCCCAGCUUUCGGGAUGCCGCUCCCUCCCACCCUCGAAGAACCCCCAUCUUCAUAAUUUCCAAAGCUCAAGUUCUGGAGACAGCAGCGCUCCCUUUGUGACCACAAAGGAGUCCACGGAUGAGACACCGAUAAUCUGCACUCCUUCUGCAAGGGGAUU